rnacentral:rRNA from 1 species
CCCGACGCUAUCGGAUUGAGAUUUAGCCAUGCGAGUCGAACGUCCCCCUGUUGCGGGGGGCGUGGCGUACGGCUCAGUAACACGUAGUCAACCUGCCCUGGAGACAAGGACAACCCCGGGAAACUGGGAUUAAUCCUUGAUAGGUCAUCUCAUCUGGAAGGAGAGAUGGCUUAAAGGGGUACGCGGGCUUCUUCCGCGAAUCUGCUCCAGGAUGGGACUGCGUCCGAUCAGGCUGUUGGCGGGGUAAUGGCCCACCAAACCUGUAACCGGUACGGGCCUUGAGAGAGGUGGCCCGGAGAUGGACACUGAGAGAAGGGUCCAGGUCCUACGGGGCGCAGCAGGCGCGAAACCUUCGCAAUGCGCGAAAGCGUGACGAGGUUAAUCCGAGUGACUUCCGCUGAGGAGGUCUUUUGUCAGCUGUAAAUAGGCAGGCGAAUAAGGGGAGGGCAAGCCUGGUGUCAGCCGCCGCGGUAAUACCAGCUCCUCGAGUGGUCGGGGCGAUUAUUGGGCCUAAAGCAUCCGUAGCCGGUUCCGUAGGUCCUCUGUUAAAUCCAACCGCUUAACGGUUGACCUGCAGAGGAUACCGCGGGACUAGGAGGCGGGAGAGGCGGACGGUACUCCGCGUGUAGGGGUAAAAUCCUUUGAUCCGCGGAAGACCACCAGUGGCGAAGGCGGUCCGCCAGAACGCGCUCGACGGUGAGGGAUGAAAGCUGGGGGAGCGAACCGGAUUAGAUACCCGGGUAGUCCCAGCCGUAAACGAUGCUAGCUAGAUGAUUCAUUCGCAAGUCGCGAAUGAAGUGUCGCAGGGAAGCCGUUAAGCUAGCCGCCUGGGGAG